AUGGCCUAGCCUAUCCUGAACAUUCAAUUGUUACUACAUUAUAUGUGAUACCCAGGGCAUUUUCACCCAAUCUGAGUUUCAGUGAGGUGAGCAACAGGCAUCGCCAUCUUACUAACGAAGAAACAGCAGAAGUGCCGGAAACUCCCACUUACUGCCCUUACGGUAAGCUGCCAUGGCAAUGUUGGAGAAGCUAACAGGGCAGGGAAAUGUGGAUUGCAUCUAGGAGCUAAAAGUGCCUUCCAGCAAGAGACUAAAGCCUCAGUCCUGAAGCAGCAAGAAAAUGAAUUCUGGUAACAACCUGAGGAGCUUGGAAGCAGAUACUUACCUAUUGUAGCCUCUGAUGAGACCACAGCAUUGGCUGACACAUACAAUUCGUCUGGUGAGACCCUGAAGCAUAGAAUCUAGUUAAGCCAGGCCUGGAUUCUGGAUUAACUUUUAAAUUAUAAAUGUGUAUUGUUUUAAACUGCUAAGUUUGUAGCAAUUAUUAUACAGUGUAGAAAACUAAUACAGUUAUGAAAGUCAAUAAAAGACUAAGAACCUUUCAGACUAAAGAAUA